UCAGGCAGUUCCUGAGAAGAAGGCUUGGGGGUUUUGGUUGACCUCAGACCAUAGUGAGUCAUCUGGGUGAAGUAGCUGCCAAACGCUAGGCAGACAAGUAGAAACGCAGGUCCCGGAUUAGAGAAGGAAACUUCCCUGCACCUCAGGGCUGAUCAGACCUCAUCCGAGGCUCAGGCAAAUUGGAGAGCUGCCCUGCAGCUGGGGACAGACCUAAGCACGGUUGAUGGACCCUGGAGAAGAGGCAACUGGGGAGAGGUUUUCACAAUACACACCCAACUGGCAUGCAGAUCAUCCUGGAUCAUCGGUGUGGGCCUGAUAUAAUCAUGAAUCCUCAUAAGAAAGAAGGCAAGCACAAAGAGAGAGAGAUUGGAAGAUGCUAUGCUGCUGGCUUUGAAGAUAGAGGAAUGGCCACAAGCCAAGGAAUGCAGCUCUAGAAGCUGAAAAGACAAGAAACAGAUUCUCCCUAAAGCCUCCAGAAGAAAUGCAAGUCUUGUCAACACCUUGAUUUUAGCCCCUGCAGGACUUAUUUUGGACUUCUGACUUCCAACUAUAAGAUAAUAAAAUUGUCCUGUUUUAAGCCACUAAA